rnacentral:rRNA from 1 species
AUACGGAGGGUGCAAGCGUUGUUCGGAAUUAUUGGGCGUAAAGAGCAUGUAGGCGGUCUGUUAAGUCUGGUGUGAAAGCCCGGGGCUCAACCCCGGAAGUGCAUUGGAUACUGGCAGACUUGAGUAUGGGAGAGGAAAGCGGAAUUCCGAGUGUAGGAGUGAAAUCCGUAGAUAUUCGGAGGAACACCAGUGGCGAAGGCGGCUUUCUGGACCAAUACUGACGCUGAGAUGCGAAAGCGUGGGGAGCGAACAGGAUUAGAAACCCGGGUAGUCC